CCUACGGGGUGCAGCAGUGGGGAAUAUUGGGCAAUGGGCGCAAGCCUGACCCAGCAACGCCGCGUGAAGGAAGAAGGCUUUCGGGUUGUAAACUUCUUUUCUGAGGGACGAAGAAAGUGACGGUACCUCAGGAAUAAGCCACGGCUAACUACGUGCCAGCAGCCGCGGUAAUAAGUAGGUGGCAAGCGUUAUCCGGAUUUAUUGGGUGAAAAGGGCGUGUAGGCGGGAAAGAAAGUCAGAUGUGAAAACUCAGGGCUCAACCCUAGCCUGCAUUUGAAAACGUUUUUCUUGAGUGCUGGAGAGGCAAUCGGAAUUCCGGGUGUAGCGGUGAAAUGCGUAGAUAUACGGAGGAACACCAGUGGCGAAGGCGGAUUGCUGGACAGUAACUGACGCUGAGGCGCGAAAGCGUGGGGAGCAAACAGGAUUAGAUACCCGGGUAGUC
rnacentral:rRNA from 1 species